UCGAGCGAACGGACGAGAAGCUUGCUUCUCUGAUGUUAGCGGCGGACGGGUGAGUAACACGUGGAUAACCUACCUAUAAGACUGGGAUAACUUCGGGAAACCGGAGCUAAUACCGGAUAAUAUUUUGAACCGCAUGGUUCAAAAGUGAAAGACGGUCUUGCUGUCACUUAUAGAUGGAUCCGCGCUGCAUUAGCUAGUUGGUAAGGUAACGGCUUACCAAGGCAACGAUGCAUAGCCGACCUGAGAGGGUGAUCGGCCACACUGGAACUGAGACACGGUCCAGACUCCUACGGGAGGCAGCAGUAGGGAAUCUUCCGCAAUGGGCGAAAGCCUGACGGAGCAACGCCGCGUGAGUGAUGAAGGUCUUCGGAUCGUAAAACUCUGUUAUUAGGGAAGAACAUAUGUGUAAGUAACUGUGCACAUCUUGACGGUACCUAAUCAGAAAGCCACGGCUAACUACGUGCCAGCAGCCGCGGUAAUACGUAGGUGGCAAGCGUUAUCCGGAAUUAUUGGGCGUAAAGCGCGCGUAGGCGGUUUUUUAAGUCUGAUGUGAAAGCCCACGGCUCAACCGUGGAGGGUCAUUGGAAACUGGAAAACUUGAGUGCAGAAGAGGAAAGUGGAAUUCCAUGUGUAGCGGUGAAAUGCGCAGAGAUAUGGAGGAACACCAGUGGCGAAGGCGACUUUCUGGUCUGUAACUGACGCUGAUGUGCGAAAGCGUGGGGAUCAAACAGGAUUAGAUACCCUGGUAGUCCACGCCGUAAACGAUGAGUGCUAAGUG
rnacentral:rRNA from 1 species